rnacentral:rRNA from 1 species
GACGAACGCUGGCGGCGUGCUUAACACAUGCAAGUCGAACGGAAAGGCCCCCACCUUGGUGGGGGUGCUCGAGUGGCGAACGGGUGAGUAACACGUGGGUGAUCUGCCCUGUACUUCGGGAUAAGCUUGGGAAACUGGGUCUAAUACCGGAUAGGACCAUGGUUUAGUGUCUCAUGGUGGAAAAAUUAUUGUUUUGGUGCAGGAUGAGCUCGCGGCCUAUCAGCUUGUUGGUGGGGUAAUUGCCUACCAAGGCGUCGGCGGGUAGCCGGCCUGAGAGGGUGGCCGCACAGAUUGGGACUGAGAUACGGGCCAGACUCCGACGGGAGGCAGCGGUGGGGAAGAUCGAACAAUGGGAGCAAGCCUGAUGCAGCGACGCCGCGUGGGGGAUGACGGCCUUCGGGUUGUAAACUCCUUUCGUUAGGGACGAAGCCACACCUUUUUUGGGUGUGGUGACGGUACCUUUGUCAAGAAGCACCGGCUAACUACGUG